CAGCAGCCACGGUAACACGUAGGUGGCAAGCGUUGUCCGGAAUUAUUGGGCGUAAAGCGCGCGCAGGCGGAUCAGUUAGUCUGUCUUAAAAGUUCGGGGCUUAACCCCGUGAGGGGAUGGAAACUGCUGAUCUAGAGUAUCGGAGAGGAAAGUGGAAUUCCUAGUGUAGCGGUGAAAUGCGUAGAUAUUAGGAAGAACACCAGUGGCGAAGGCGACUUUCUGGACGAAAACUGACGCUGAGGCGCGAAAGCCAGGGGAGCGAACGGGAUUAGAUACCCGAGUAGUCCCUGUCUCUUAUACA
rnacentral:rRNA from 1 species